AUUGAACGCUGGCGGCAUGCCUUACACAUGCAAGUCGAACGGCAGCGGAGACUUCGGUCCGCCGGCGAGUGGCGAACGGGUGAGUAAUGUAUCGGAACGUACCAUUCAGUGGGGGAUAACUAUCCGAAAGGAUAGCUAAUACCGCAUAUUCUGUGAGCAGGAAAGCAGGGGAUCGCAAGACCUUGCGCUGAUUGAGCGGCCGAUAUCAGAUUAGCUAGUUGGUGAGGUAACGGCUCACCAAGGCUAUGAUCUGUAGCGGGUCUGAGAGGAUGAUCCGCCACACUGGGACUGAGACACGGCCCAGACUCCUACGGGAGGCAGCAGUGGGGAAUUUUGGACAAUGGGCGCAAGCCUGAUCCAGCCAUGCCGCGUGAGUGAAGAAGGCCUUCGGGUUGUAAAGCUCUUUCGGCCGGGAAGAAAUCGCAUCAGCUAAUACCUGGUGUGGAUGACGGUACCGGAAUAAGAAGCACCGGCUAACUACAUGCCAGCCGCCGCGGUAAUAC
rnacentral:rRNA from 1 species